GCGAGAGUGGUGGAAUUGGCAGACACGCCAGACUUAGGAUCUGGUGCCGCAAGGCUUGGGGGUUCAAGUCCCCCCUCUCGCA
rnacentral:tRNA from 1 species